rnacentral:rRNA from 1 species
UACAGAGGUCUCGAGCGUUGUUCGGAUUCAUUGGGCGUAAAGGGUGCGUAGGCGGCGUGGCAAGUCUGAUGUGAAAUCCCGGGGCUCAACCCCGGAACUGCAUUGGAUACUGCCAUGCUAGAGUACUGGAGAGGAGAUUGGAAUUUACGGUGUAGCAGUGAAAUGCGUAGAUAUCGUAAGGAACACCAAUGGCGAAGGCAGCUCGCUGGGACGGUACUGACGCUGAGGCGCGAAAGCGUGGGGAGCAAACAGG